rnacentral:lncRNA from 1 species
GAAAUAGACAAAGACUUGCAGUUUUGUAGACUGCUCUAACAGAUCCCAAAAUUCAGUGGCUCAAACAGGAUAGCAGCUUAUUUCUCUCUUGAGUAACAGUCCAGAUAGAUUGUCCAGGUCUGUUAACACCUCUGUUGAUGCCCAGCUUCCAAAGCCAUUGGCUGCCAUAGAAGUGAUGAGAACAUAACCUCAGGCUAGAUAUUUCCUCUUACACACGUCAAAGACAUUGCUCGCAUCAUUCUUGCUUGCCCUCCAUUGGCAAUGAGGGAUUAGUCACUUAGCCAUAAAUGUAGCAAAGUGAGCUAGGAAGUAGUUCUCUGCCUGCAGCCAUCUCUCAGGCACACUUUACUUUGAGGAGGGGAGAGACAGUCUUCAGUGGACAGCCAGCAAUAACUGACACAGUUCAGUUAAUGUAUAGGGAGAAAUGUAGUUUUCAGAGCAUCAUUCUAGUCAUUAAGACAUUUUUGAAAAAUAAAAUUUGUGAACUGUCACAUUAAUCUUGUGCCAGAUUACUCUCUACCAUUGUAGAUUCAGUCACAAUACUUGAAGUUCAUAGGUUUUAGAUCUCCUCUCCCCUUCCGAAAAAAUACUUAAAGGAGAAAGUAACAGUAUAGCGUAAGAUUGAAAAAAAAAAAAAAAGCCUUGUUAUCCUUAGGAAGUUUUCACUUGUAGCUGUUCUGUUUUCUAAUUGGUUUAGUUAUUUUUCUAAAUUAACUGCAUUUAAUUUAUAAGUUUGUUCAUAAAUGUGUAUUGUCCCACACUACGCUUGGUACUGCAUUUCCUAUUCUGUAGAGAUUAAUUGUUCAGAAGGGAAGUGUAGACGGUGACAAUAGUGUGUAAUACAUGAAACAGAGGGAUGGCAGAAGGAAAAAGUUUGAGAAGGUUUCCAAGAAGAGAUGAUUCCUACUCUAUGGUGUAAAGAAUGAAUAGAAAUGUUUACAUUUCAAAAAUGGAAUCAGAGGAACGCUCUAGGAAGAUAAAAUGACAUUCAAGGGCAUGGGGCCUGAGGAACUCCACACUGGUUUGAUGUAAAUAGAGUGAAGGUGCAAAGAUGUGGCAGAGUCUUCUUGGAUGCCGUACUGUUAAGUCAGCAUAACCCAUCUGGUGAUUCUAAAACCCAUGGAGUAGGUGAGUGUAUUCCUGGGAUUUAUGUCACUGUGGAGAAGUCUUUACAAGUGAUAUUGUAGAAUGUUUUUUCUUUUAAUCAUAAGACACAUCAUAAAAAAAUAAGCCAGCAGAUUUAUUAAGCUCAUAUUAUGAAAACUGAAUUUUAGGGUAUAAGCUAUUAUCUGUUUUCAUUAUGUAAUACAAGAAAGUCCAGUCUAUGUUUUAAUAUUCAAUAUGUUCUAAACAUUUUUUCCUAUUAUAUACAGCAAUACAAAUAGCAUCCAUCCUUUUUCAGUGAAAGAACAAGAGCUUUUUCUUUUUUACAUAUAAAUGAGUUGAAAGACUGCAUAGGUAACUUUAUAUCUUUAUAAAUAUAAUUUUUAUAUGUAACACACAAUCUUAUAUAUAGUCUUUGAUAACCUAAAAUAAGCAUUCUUCUUUAUCACAAACUAUGCCAAAUGAAAAAGUGAUUAUCAUAAAACAUUUUGAAAAUACUUAGAAACCCAAUAAAAAUUUUUAGAGAAAGGUUAUAGGUAACAGGUAGCUAGUUAAGAAGGUCAAGCCAGAGAGAGUAAUGUGGUUAGAUUUGCUUUAUAGAAAGAUCCCUUUCAAAGCAAUUUGGUGGGUGAAUUUGAAAGACAUGGGUAUAGAAAGAGAGCAAAGCAUGGCAAGAGGUGACUAGAGCUUGAGAUUUCUAGAAAUGAUGGAGAGGAAAGCAGAAGGUGGAUUCACGGGACACCCACUGAGGGGUGGAACUGAUGAUGGGUCUUAAAGAAUGAGAUGCCAAGGGAGAGGGAGAAGCCUAGGGUGGCUCAGGUUUCAGGCUGCAGUCAGUAAAGGUGGAGGUUGUGAUAACUAGAGAACACAUUGGGCAAGAGGGAGCAGCUAGAAGCAGGUGCUGAAACAUGUUUUGUUUUAUAAAUUUAAUCAAUAUCCAUUUAUUAACAUGAUUACAGUAAUGUUCAGGAUGACUUGGAUUUGUCUUAAUGAAUACAGACUUGUUGCAGAAUCAUAUUUUUUCCAUAUGAGAACCUUUUCCCAACUCUUAGAUGUCCUUCCAGAUACUUUAAAUCUAGCUGCUUGCUUCUGUCUCUUCAUUCCAAGUGAAAAACAUAAACUUAGAAAUUUACUUAUUGGCUCCUUAGGGAAAAGAGAGGAGGAUUUGUGCUCCCAAAGAUUUCCCCAUGCUUCAAAAAAACCCUAGAAGUGUUUUUUCUUUUUUCAGAAGCUUCCUCUGAUUUGCUUUGAAGUCUUUGUUAUCAAAAGACUUAAGAGUCUCUUCAGGGCAUUAGAUUUGGAGUAGAAAAACUUGUAUGUCUUUUCUGCUAACUUGCUGGGUUGUGUUAGGCAAAAAGCAUUAGUUCUUUGGAGCUUUAUUGUGCUAUUUAUAAAAUAAAGGAUUGAAUUAGAUCAGAGUUUCUUAAAUUGGGAUUGUUGACCUUAUUUCAGGUGAUCCAUGAGCUCUUUAAAAUUAUAUAGAAAAUUCUGUGUCUGUCGAUGCAAGCAUUUUCCUACAAUAAGAUCCAUAGCUCUCAUUAGAUUCUUAUGGUUCUGGGAUCCAAAAAAAAAAAAAAAAA